rnacentral:lncRNA from 10 species
GCCAGUGAGACAAACACCUCACUAGCAACAGAAUAAAUGUUCAUGGGGCCCCACUGGAAGCCCCUGUCCCAGCACCCUCUGUCAGCAUCACAUGUAGUGUUGUGGAAACAGGAGGAAAAGAGAGACCUUGGGGUGUAUACAGGAGGAUCUUUAUUGAGUGCACUCAGACCCACUGGACUCAACGUCUAAAAACUGGGCCUAGAAUAAAGACAGCACUUGACUUAAACACACUUUUAAAAAGGGGUGGGUUAGCUUGAAGCAGGCUUACAGUGGCGUGAAAGCAGGGAUACAGAGGCAGGACAAAGACAGUUAAUCAAAUUAUAACAGGCUCAUAACUCAGGAUUAGACAUGACCGUUGCUGUGCAACUCAGAUGGCCAUUAUGUAGGUUUGCCCUAGUGCUUAGCAUGGCUUAUUCCAUGGCCAUCACUAUGGCACCCAGGUGGCUCUAUCUCAGGCUGCUCAGACAGUUUAUGACCUUCACUCCACUGCUGAUAAAACAGAAUAUUUGAAGUCACUAGGUGUAGAGAGCAGGAAUCUAUAAACUCAUACCAUGAAACAAAGGAAAAUUUGUUUUUCUUCUCCCUAUGUUGAGGGAGUGCUGGGAGAGGCUCCAGAGCACAUUCCUUUGUGUCUUGGCUUCUUAGUAUUAUUAAGACUUUUCCUGGGUCUGGGCUGUGCCUGUUGCUGCCUCUGAGACAAGUCAGCCUAAUACAGGAAAAGCUUAAUUCUCUUUUUAAUUUUUUCUUUUUUCUUUCAUUUCCCCCCUCAGUAGGGGUUCCUGAGACCCUCAGCCACCUCCCCGUACUUGACGGAGGUGGAAGGGGAGGUGCUGGACAUGCAGCGGCUUUAUUAAUGCUGCUGUAUCUAUCUCUGGAUAAUGAAUGUGGCUCACAGCCACACGCCUCUAUGACCUUUUGUUUCCGUGGGUCAGGGGUCCAGCCUGGGAGGCUGGGUCUUUGGUUCAGGGUCAAAUGAGGCUGAGAUCAAGGUGUCAGCUGGGCUGUGUCCUUAUCUGCUGCUCGGGGGCCUUUUCUGGGCCCAAGUGGACUUGGGCAGAAUUUGGGUCCUGGUGGUAGUGGUGGCUCUGAGGUCCCCCUUGGCUCUUGGAGGCCAUGGGCCCUACUUGAGGGCAGAAGGAAACAGGGCGGCCUCCGGUCUGGCUUGCCACAGACGCUUGGGUGUACAGGGAGCACAGCAGAGCUGGGGCUUCUGCUACCCGGAAGCAGGUGUGGAGCUUGGGAUGCAGACAGGGGGCAGGAGAUGAGGAGAAAAUGAUGGUGAAAGCCAGGAAGUGGGUGGGGCCCCAAGGAGUACAGAGGGUGGUCGUGUGGGGUGGGUGGGCAGGCAUGGGCCUGGACGGAUAGGUUGGGCAUGGGAAGCUUAGAACAAACACCUUAGAGCAAACACCAUGAUCUUUAAAUUGGGUUCUGCAUGAGAGACACUCGGGCGAAGGAGACGCUUCUAAUUCCCACUAAAUGUGCAAAUGGAAUGGGGAAAGAAUAUUCUAGAAGACACUCCCAUGUCGUGGCGGGGCAGGUGCAGGGUGUGAGAUGAUCUUGGUUCAAGGAGGGGCUUCGACUCCCCUGGUCCCAGGUAGGCACACCCAGCCACCCCUUGCUCUCAUGGGUCCAGCCCACUGACCUGGUGGCAGGAAGUCAGCAAGGCUCUCACAGGAAGACCAACACACCCUCACGGCUUGAUGUCAAUAUUCAAUUAUUAACUUUAAUGUGCAAAUAAAUAGAAAAGGAAAACUACAU